UAAGUUGCCUCCUUUAUUUCUUACUUCUCUUUGUGACAUCAUCAUUGUCCACAUCAUCUGGCCCCUGGUCCCAUCUGUCUUGGGCAGGUGGCUGGAAAUUUGAGCCAGUGUCCCGGGGAGAUACUACCAGACUUCCUCCACGGAAGACAGGAGCAUAAAUGACUGGAAGAGCGGAGAGCUGGAUGGAGUAUGGUGCAAGGAACAGGAGAAACUGCAACUGUAGCAGCAUUCCUUCCCCCCAGGAAUGUGACAAAGAUGAGCACCAUUCCAACACCUGUUGCUGAGGCACUUUCCAGGGGUCUAGCUGUGGAGGCCCCUACUCUUCUCUAGAGCAGGCACUUCAAUCUUCAGGCCAAAACUAAAAUGUCUGCAUGACCACACUGCCAGGUUGCCCAAGAUUGGCUGACUUUGUAUGCAUCCUGAUUAAAAAUGGCAUCUUGCUCUCUG
rnacentral:lncRNA from 1 species